rnacentral:rRNA from 1 species
ACCGUACUCCUACGGGAGGCAGCAGUGGGGAAUUUUGGACAAUGGGGGCAACCCUGAUCCAGCAAUGCCGCGUGAGUGAAGGAGGCCUUCGGGUUGUAAGGCUCUUUUGUCAGGGAAGAAACGGUAGUAGCUAAUAUCUAUUACUAAUGACGGUACCUGAAGAAUAAGCACCGGCUAACUACGUGCCAGCAGCCGCGGUAAUACGUAGGGUGCAAUCGUUAAUCGGAAUUCCUGGGCGUAAAGCGUGCGCAGGCGGUUGUGUAAGUCAGAUGUCAAAUCCCCGGGCUCAACCUGGGAAUUGCAUUUGAGACUGCACGGCUAGAGUGUGUCAGAGGGGGGUAGAAUUCCACGUGUAGCAGUGAGAUGCGUAGAUAUAUGGAGGAAUACCGAUGGCGAAGGCAGCCCCCUGGGAUAACACUGACGCUCAUGCACGAAAGCGUGGGGAGCAAACAGGAUUAGAUACCCGUGUAGUCCUUGAC